UGGGGAAUAUUGCACAAUGGGCGCAAGCCUGAUGCAGCCAUGCCGCGUGUAUGAAGAAGGCCUACGGGUUGUAAAGUACUUUCAGCGGGGAGGAAGGGAGUAAAGUUAAUACCUUUGCUCAUUGACGUUACCCGCAGAAGAAGCACCGGCUAACUCCGUGCCAGCAGCCGCGGUAAUACGGAGGGUGCAAGCGUUAAUCGGAAUUACUGGGCGUAAAGCGCACGCAGGCGGUUUGUUAAGUCAGAUGUGAAAUCCCCGGGCUCAACCUGGGAACUGCAUCUGAUACUGGCAAGCUUGAGUCUCGUAGAGGGGGGUAGAAUUCCAGGUGUAGCGGUGAAAUGCGUAGAGAUCUGGAGGAAUACCGGUGGCGAAGGCGGCCCCCUGGACGAAGACUGACGCUCAGGUGCGAAAGCGUGGGGAGCAAACAGG
rnacentral:rRNA from 1 species